rnacentral:sRNA from 1 species
CCACAAAACAAGCCGAAGCUCGUCAGAGCACGGGGGAACCGAUUCAUUGGGGUGAAGUCGUAUAGCGACAGGGGAGUCCACUUUAACCCGAACCCGACAGCUAACCUCGCAGGCUGCAAAGGGAGAGAUG